rnacentral:rRNA from 1 species
UACGUAGGGCGCAAGCGUUAUCCGGAAUUAUUGGGCGUAAAGAGCUCGUAGGCGGUUUGUCGCGUCUGCCGUGAAAGUCCGGGCUCAACUCCGGAUCUGCGGUGGGUACGGGCAGACUAGAGUGAUGUAGGGGAGACUGGAAUUCCUGGUGUAGCGGUGAAAUGCGCAGAUAUCAGGAGGAACGACCGAUGGCGAAGGCAGGUCUCUGGGCAUUAACUGACGCUGAGGAGCGAAAGCAUGGGGAGCGAACAGG